rnacentral:rRNA from 1 species
UACGUAGGGUGCGAGCGUUGUCCGGAAUUAUUGGGCGUAAAGAGCUCGUAGGCGGUCUGUCGCGUCUGCUGUGAAAACUCGGGGCUUAACCCCGGGCCUGCAGUGGGUACGGGCAGACUAGAGUGCGGUAGGGGAGACUGGAAUUCCUGGUGUAGCGGUGAAAUGCGCAGAUAUCAGGAGGAACACCGGUGGCGAAGGCGGGUCUCUGGGCCGAAAUUGACGCUGAGGAGCGAAAGCGUGGGGAGCAAACAGG